rnacentral:rRNA from 1 species
AUUGAACGCUGGCGGUAGGCCUAACACAUGCAAGUCGAACGCGAAAGUCCUUCGGGAUGAGUAGAGUGGCGGACGGGUGAGUAACGCGUAGGAAUCUGUCCUGUAGUGGGGGAUAACGUUUCGAAAGGAACGCUAAUACCGCAUACGCCCUACGGGGGAAAGCGGGGGAUCUUCGGACCUCGUGCUAUAGGAGGAGCCUGCGUCGGAUUAGCUAGUUGGUGAGGUAAAGGCUCACCAAGGCGACGAUCCGUAGCUGGUCUGAGAGGAUGAUCAGCCACACCGGAACUGAGACACGGUCCGGACUCCUACGGGAGGCAGCAGUGGGGAAUAUUGCGCAAUGGGCGAAAGCCUGACGCAGCCAUACCGCGUGUGUGAAGAAGGCCUUCGGGUUGUAAAGCACUUUCAGUGGGGAGGAAAAGCUGGUGGCUAAUAUCCAUCGACCGUGACGCUACCCACAGAAGAAGCACCGGCUAAUUCCGUGCCAGCAGCCGCAGUAAAAC